rnacentral:lncRNA from 1 species
GGCCUCUGAGCUCUCUGUCUCACGGCUUUCUCUGCCCUCUCCCAGCCUUUAAUCCUAGACGGUGGGAGGCCUCCAGAUAAGGCUGGGGCGCCACCCACCCCCACCUGCCCCGCACCUUCCUUCCUCCGCACCAGCGAGGGAGUGACCUAGGAGAUGAUAAACUCGUGCCCAGGAGCUUGGAGGCCACU